UUGCCAGCUGACCAAGUGUCCGCUAUCAUUGUUUCCGUCUUUGGAUGCUCCUGAAAACCAUUCCAUGCAAAUCAGGGAAACAACAAAUUUGCCCAUAUAGACAAUGAUAAAGACCUUUGGGAACUGGAGGUGUUACAGCAGAGUAUUGAUGUAGAAUUUGUACCUGAUGAUUCUGUUGUUGAUCUAGUCUAAGAUCUUCGCAAUUAAACAAGUGAGAAAGAGAGGGACCGGUGAUCUGCUCAGUAUUACUCAAAUUUCGUAUAUCUGAUAAUUCCUUCUCUGAAGAAGAACAAGCCUCUGUUGAAAUAUGAGCAGAAACUGUUUUAUCUUCCAUCAGCAGCUUCUUUUCAGCAUCACAAAGCUUGGCAUCAUCAUGAAUGCAAUCAUGGUUAGAGAAAGAUUCUUCUGCCCCAGUUGAAAUGCUAGUAUAUAACAACAUUUCUUCAGAAACCUCUCUGCUGUUUCUGGCCAGCUCAUACUUCAACAGGUUGGAUAUAUUAUUGUGGUCCAACUCACAGUUUUCCACACAACAUUUGUCAUGACAAGGCACUUCCCCAUCUAUACACAAAUCCUUGAAGAUCUGGCAACCAUUUUCUUUUAGGAAAACAACCACUUCUGGUACUUCGCACUCCAUACUUCUCAAAUCUCCAUACUCAGGAUCUCUGCUUUCCAAUUGCAUAUAGUAGUGUGAAUUUUUGGCAAGAAAAGGAAGGCCUUUGCCCACUGGACCUGAUCUUUUAUGCAUCAAGUAGUUUGCAUGACAAUAACAGGUUUGCUUUUUUCUUUACUAGUCUUUAAAUCAGAUUAAUUUUAUUAAGCUUACUUUUCUCAUCUUUGAAAGCUACAAGAAAGCUCAAUUCCUCCAAGUCAAAAUAUUACGUUGCAGAUCUACAUUGAGUGCUUAAGUAAGAUUUGAAAUUUACAUGUUGCUUUCUACAGAAAUGUAAGAAAUUCCUUGUAGAAAUCAAAGUGUGAAUCUCAGAAAAAUAUCAAGCACUUAUGACAGCUCAUCCCUUGCGUAUUGCAGAUGAGGGCUGCAAAAGUUUGAAGGUUCACAGCUACUGACAUUGAUAAAAACAUCUAUGGGACAACCUUUCUGGAAGGAAGAUAAGAGUGUCAAAAGUGUCAAAAACCUUCCCGCUGGAAAUCAAGUACUAAUUGACUUUCGUUUUCAUCAAUUUCUUUUUCAGGAAUUCAGAGGGCUCUAUUCACCUAAGCAGAACUAUAACAAUCACGUUAGGCCUAAUCAGACAGUCAAGAGGACUGAUUUCAUUUUCACAUGUCUGUCCUCCAUAUCUUGCCACGCAUCCUUAAUCCUUUGUGAAGAUAGUCUGUGAUAAAUAAUAAACCAGUCAUCUCCCCA